rnacentral:rRNA from 1 species
AUUGAACGCUGGCGGCAGGCCUAACACAUGCAAGUCGAACGAGUGGCGGACGGGAGAGUAAUGUCUGGGAAACUGCCUGAUGGAGGGGGAUAACUACUGGAAAAGGUAGCUAAUACCGCAUACAAUCAGAUGUGCCCAGAUGGGAUUAGCUAGUUGGUGGGGUAACGGCUCACCAAGGCAACGAUCCCUAGCUGGUCUGAGAGGCUGACCCGCCACACGGGAACUGAGACACGGUCCAGACUCCUACGGGAGGCAGCAGUGGGAAAUAUUGCACAAUGGGCGAAAGCCUGAUGCAGCAAUGCCGCGUGUAUGAAGAAGGCCUUCGGGUUGUAAAGUACUUUCAGCGGGGAGGCGUUACCCGCAGAAGAAGCACCGGCUAACUCCGUGUCAGCCGCCGCGGUAAUAC